rnacentral:rRNA from 1 species
GCUAAACGCGAAGAACCUUACCUACCCUUGACAUGUCUGGAAUCCCGAAGAGAUUUGGGAGUGCCGCAAGGAACCAUGAGACAGGUGCUGCAUGGCUGUCGUCAGCUCGUGUCGUGAGAUGUUGGGUUAAGUCCCGCAACGAGCGCAACCCUUGUCCUUAGUUGCCAUCAUUAAGUUGGGAACUCUAAGGAGACCGCCGGUGACAAACCGGAGGAAGGUGGGGAUGACGUCAAGUCAUCAUGGCCUUUAUGGCCAGGGCUACGCACGUGCUACAAUGGCAGGUACAGAGGGAGGCCAACCGGCGACGGGGAGCCAAUCCCAGAAAGCCUGUCUUAGUCCGGAUUGCAGUCUGCAACUCGACUGCAUGAAGUUGGAAUCGCUAGUAAUCGCAGAUCAGCAUUGCUGCGGUGAAUACGUUCCCGGGUCUUGUACACACCG